GCACUCCCGGGGCGUCUUAUUCUCAUUGCGAGAAAAGGCGCACCUAGAGCGCACACGCUGAUACCCGAAAGAUGGUGAACUAUGCCUGGCCAGGACGAAGCCAGGGGAAACCCUGGUGGAGGUCCGCAGCGAUUCUGACGUGCAAAUCGAUCGUCGGAGCUGGGUUUAGGGGCGAAAGACCAAUCGAACCAUCUAGUAGCUGGUUCCCUCUGAAGUUUCCCUCAGGAUAGCUUGCGCUCAGAGGAACGAGUCUCAUCCGGUAGAGCGAAUGAUUAGAGGCCUUGGGGUCGAAACGACCUCAACCUAUUCUCAAACUCCAAAUAGAUGAGAACCCCGGCUUCCUUGAAUUAUGAAGCCGGGGGUUUGGAUCAGAGUGCCAAGUGGGCCAAUUUUGGUAAGCAGAACUGGCGCUGUGGGAUGAACCAAACGCUGAGUUAAGGCGCCUCAAUCGACGCUCAUCUGAAACCAUGAAAGGUGUUGGUUGCUUAAGACAGUAG
rnacentral:rRNA from 1 species